rnacentral:rRNA from 1 species
CACUCCUGCGGGAGGCAGCAGUGGGGAAUAUUGGACAAUGGGCGCAAGCCUGAUCCAGCCAUGCCGCGUGAGUGAUGAAGGCCCUAGGGUUGUAAAGCUCUUUCACCGGUGAAGAUAAUGACGGUAACCGGAGAAGAAGCCCCGGCUAACUUCGUGCCAGCAGCCGCGGUAAUACGAAGGGGGCUAGCGUUGUUCGGAUUUACUGGGCGUAAAGCGCACGUAGGCGGACUAUUAAGUCAGGGGUGAAAUCCCGGGGCUCAACCCCGGAACUGCCUUUGAUACUGGUAGUCUUGAGUUCGAGAGAGGUGAGUGGAAUUCCGAGUGUAGAGGUGAAAUUCGUAGAUAUUCGGAGGAACACCAGUGGCGAAGGCGGCUCACUGGCUCGAUACUGACGCUGAGGUGCGAAAGCGUGGGGAGCAAACAGGAUUAGAUACCCUUGUAGUCCC